rnacentral:misc_RNA from 1 species
ACAAAAUCAGGAAUUCGUCUUCUUAUGGAGGGAAGACCAACGAUGGAAAAAUUGAGGAGGAACUUCUGGGUGAAAAGAAGGCAACAACUGUGGCUGAUGUCCUGCCAAUUGCUUCUGGCAAGGAUCUUGAGAAAAUAUCUGAGGAACCUGCAGGUGAAGAAAAGGCAUUACCUCUUGCUGAUGCUGUGUUAAUCACUUCUCCCAGUGGCGGCCUUGAAAAAA